CAAACUUGCAAUCCAAUCCAUUCGGAGUUGAGCCUAGGAUAGGAGGGGAAAAUCUAUUAAAAAAAAAAAAAAAUCAGGAGCAUCUCUGAGAGAAACCCUUUUCAACAAAAUCAAGGACCAGAGAACCUCAGACCGACCCUAACGUUCCUGCUGUGAGGCCCGCGGGCUAUGGAAUCACGCACGUCACCUGGCCCCAGCAGGGCGGCCAGCUGAGGGGGUUCUUUUUAUUUUAUUUUCCUUUAUUUUUUGAAGUUAAGGCUGAAUCUCGGCUUCAGUGCUUUUGCCAACGUCUCCACUGACAGGAACCAGCAAACUUCAGGACACAAAUGAGCGUCUUAAUUUAUUGAUGCAAAACAGGUCUGAUUGUCGCCCCCAAUUCUCGGCGCGCUCGGUCCCCCACGCCCCCAGCUUCGGUCCCUCCAUUUGAUCUCAGGGUCAAAAGUGGAUCAUUGAGGCAGUUGACAAAUAAUUAAGACGUGGUACUUAAGGAGAAUCAGAGAAGACUAUCGGGAGGAAUUCAGACCAUCUUCACCUGGAUUUUCAUGGGUACUUGUCAUCUCUUUCCUGGAACGCUGUGCCUACCUCCCGACUGGCUUUCCUGUUUCCAGUCUUUCCUCCCUCGUAUCUAUUCUCCAUCACCGGUAUGAGUCAUUGAUCUGCAACAACAUCUUUCUGACUGUGUCACCACUGAGCCUACAAACCAUCAGCAGUUCCCAAUGACAUGACUGUGGUAUUCCUCAAACUCAGCGAACCUCAGAGAUGGACCCCUGAGGGUGGGUGUUUAAAUAUUUAUGAAUAUUGUUUUGAAAUGAUAACCUUUCAAUUAAACUUUGUACCUCUUCCAUAGUUUUGGAUAAAAUCGAGAAUCCAAGAAACCGGGCCAGUUUAAUCCUGCCUGUCCCCACGGUUUGAAUACUGCAGCAUUUCUUAUGCCUAUGCCAUAAACCACAGGUUCUUUAGCCAAGCACAUGAGGCUCUCUUGGGUGGAACACAUUCUCUUCUUCAUUUUCGUCUCCUGCCAAUCUUCAAAGGGCACAUUACCCUUUUGUACUAUUGCUUGUAUUUCCCCUUAAACAAGCCAUAUUAUUUCCAAUGUUAGGGCCUUUGCACCUAUGCUUUUUACUGGGAGUAUUCUCUCCUUUCCCUUCAUGUGGCUGACUUGAGCGUUCAUUCUUUAACUCAGCUCACAUGUCAUCUCCUCCUAGAAGUCUGAGGCUGGCUCUUCUGUGUCCUCACAGCACUUCACACUCUGCACUGCUGUGUUGCCUUUAUGUGUCUUCUUUCAACUAGAACAAGGCUUCUCUGAGGCCAGGGACACUGCCUCUUUCAUCUUUAUACUCUCGUCUGGUCCAAAUGUUCUAUCUCCCAGAAUCGAUUUAUUGAAGGCCUAAUUCCCAAUGUGAUGGUAUGUGGAGGUGGGGCAUUUGGGAAGUAAUCAGGUUGAGAUGAGGUCAUGAGGGUGGGUGCCCAAGGUGAGAUUAGUGCCCUUGUAAGAAAAAGGACACAGAGAGCUUGCUGUCCCCAUGCACAGUGGCUGUCUACAAGGUAGGAAGCCAGUUCUCACCAGGAAGUGAAUACACUGGCACCUUGAUCUUAGAAUUCCCAGCUUUCAGAGCCAUGAAGAGUAAAUGUCUAUUGUUUAUGCCACGCAGUCUAUGGUAUGCUGUAUAGUAGUCUGAGCUAAGGCAUACCCUCGACUCCUAGUAAGUAUCUGGCACACGGUGGACACUUAAAAAUACAUUUUGAAGUGAACGUGAAUGUCAUGGUAGGAGCUGAUUUUCACUGCUGAACAAAGAACACCAAGCACACGCAUGUUCUGCAGAUGAUGCAUUUAGCCACAGGAGCAACGCAGCUUCCCUGCACUUCAUAUUAACAGGGGGCCCCCCCAAUCGGAAAGGUCUCAUUGUAGUUUGCAAUGACUUGUAUUUAGAUUAGACAAGCAUUUGUGAAAGUAUUCGAAUAAAAAUAACUUUCACAUGUAAAACAUUUUCAAAUUUCAAAGCUUUUGCAUAUGUAUUAUCUUCACUUGAUCCUUACAAUAAACUUUCAAGGUUGGCAGAUAUUAUUAUGCCCCAUUUGGAAAAGGAGGAAAUUAAGAUUUUGAUGGAGUCAGAUGAAAUAAACCCAUUUUGGAAGCCCCAAGUAUGUUUCAGAUAUGGAAUCAUCUUUGUGAAACUGGCCAAGGGCAAAUUUUAGUACUCUUUUGUGACAGAUGAGGAAACAGAGUGUUGAAGGGACUGGCUCAGAGUCAUAGCAGAGUGCCAUCAAAAUGGAGUUGAAUUCUACCCUGUGACUUAGAUUAGUUCUGAUACAUACAUGUACAAAUAUGUGUACACAUUAGAAAGGGAGCCUUGGUUUUAGGAGAGCAACCUGAAGAAAUUUUUUCUCUUCUCUUCCAUAACUGGUUUGUCACUUGUCUUUAGUACAUAAAAGCACCAAGUCAUAAAUAGUUGGUCAAGAGAGUGGUUUGGGAACAAAAUUGGAAAAUUAUUUGGGUUUAUUUGAGAUGGGAGAGUAGGGGCAGCCGGGAUCAUAUAGAUACUGAACAUUGAAAAAUAAUUUUUUCUUUUUGUCAUGAAGUCACAAAAUUAUUAGUUUUAAGUAAAGAUAAGGAGGCUAUCUCAAUAUAUUCUACCUAUAGUUUUCUGGACUUUUUGCUGAUGAAUGUGAAGCCCAAGAAAAGGUAUAUUUAUUAUAGUUCUGUUGUUGAAUGAAAAUGCUACUUCCAGUAAGGGGCUGUCUUUUCCUUCUGUUUACUUAGAAUUUUAUAAAGCAAAGUUGGCAAAUACUCUUUUGAAGGGAGAAAAACUUCACAUGUUAAGAUGGUAGAUAAAAACAUAUUAUUUGUGCUUCAAUUCUCUCUUGAGAGGCCAGUAAUACAAACUAAAUUCUGUAUAUACUAUGAAACAACAACUGAAUGCAAAGAUAUUUAUAAUCUUCCUCCUACCUACCCCUAGACAUUGGUUAAAUGGUUUUUGAAAGUGUGCCCUUAUGUGUAAAUAUGUUAAAGUUUAAUUUUUCUUUUUAAGGUUUAUUCAUUUUUCAGAGACAGAGAGAGACAGAGCGUGAGCAGGGGACGGGCAGAGAGAGAGAGGGAGACACAGAAUCGAAAUAGGCUCCAGGCUCCAGGUUCCGAGCUGUCUGCACAGAGCUCGACACAGGGCCAGAACUCACAGACUGCAAGAUCAUGACCUGAGCAAAAGUCGGAUGCUUAACCGACUGAGCCACCCAGGCACCCCAAUAUGUUAAAGUUUAAAUGUGUUUACUAAUGCAUCAGGAUUAUUGGCCAAUUAAUAAAUUCAAAUAUGUGAUGGGGCACUUCAUGUCCUAAACAAAUGAACUGCUUGACAAUUACACACGUGUAUCACAUAUUUAUUCAUUCAGCAAAUGCUUACCAAUUCCCUACUAUGUGUUGGACUCCAUGCCGAGAAUAAGGAUACAGACCUAAUCGUUGCAGGCUGGCAGGGAAGACAGAUUGUGCGUGAUGAAUGCUAUUGGGAAUAUAGACAGCAGGCCAUCCAGCCAAAUGAUAGCUACAAAAUAAAGUGAAGGCAAGAGUAGAUCUUCCUAAUGCACAAAAGGUCAGGUCUUUGAAAUCCAUUAACCACCACUGAAAUUAGUUUAAAUCACCUGUGACAUGUUAUAACCCUUCCAGGCUGGGCUAAAGGCAUGUUGGGACCUCAGAGCAGGCUCGGAGGGAGUGAGGAGAAAGUCUAAUGUCAGAACUUCAGGGAGGGAGGCCAAUGUUUCAACGACAGUAGCUGGAGGGCUUUGAUGCACAAAGUUCAUGAGAAGCUGACCUCAACAUCCAGGGCUCUUUCAGGUGCUCAGUGGCUCUUCUUGCCAAGUAUGAGGCAGUACCUCUUACUUUCUGAGGGGUUCUGUUUCAGUGGAAGUAGGACUCCAAUCAGCUACUGGGUCUCAUGGAUAGGCUCUGGUGACUGACAGGAGGCUACUGGUAAGGGCUAGACAGAUUAUCGGGGGAGGAGCCUUAAACUGGGGUUCAGGCCAGGGCACUUGUUCCAGGAGAGAACCAAAUGAUGAAAUGGGCACCAAAGCAGAUACAGUGAAUAAUCAGAAGGGAUUGGGUAUUGGGAGCUGCUCCUUAUGAGGCUCUAGGGUGUCUUGUGCUCCUUAGGUGUCAGUCUCGGUCUCUCUUUCCUCAGUGCCCUCGUCCUGCCACCACAGCUGCUCUCUCUCUCUUUCUCUCUCUCUCACCUAUUGGUUUGUAUUCCAAUACUAUCUGUGAUGCCCAAAUAUUGAGUAAGGCUUCUCUGUACACCAAGAGCAAUUAAUAGCUUCUGAGUGUGGAUUUGGCUUUUGUGGAGACAAUAUUAUUUCAGUGUCAGUUCAUUAGAACACAGGUGGUGCCUGGGUUUUCACUGCAAAAGGUAUGAUGCUUGAAAUUUAAACAAAUAUAAACAAACAAUUCAGUAUUUUGAUUCAUUUAUUAUUAACUGUAAUGGCUAUAAUUUUUUUAGCCUAAAACAACAACAACAAAAAAAGGAUAGCAAAACUAUAAAGAAGUCUUUAAUUAGUAGAUUGUAUGAAUUUUGUUUCCUUAGGUAUCUUUACCCUUUAAAAAAAUUUUUUUUAAUGUUUAAUGAGAGACAGGGAUGUGAGUGGGGGAAGGGCAGAGAGUGAGGAGGGAGAGAAUCCCAAGCAGGCUCCGCUCUGUCAGUGCGGAGCCCAAUGUGGGGCUCCAACUCACCAAACCGCAAGAUCAUGACCUGAGUUGAAACUGAGAGUCCCAAGAGUAGGUCCUUUAAAUGACUGAGCCACCCAGACACACCCCAGGCAUCUUUACUCUUAACUUGUGAGAACGAAAUAGUACAUAUGCUUAUCUAGUUACCAUGUAGGAUUAAGUCUUUAGAAAUAGACCCAAUAGAUUUAAGUUUAUCAUUUGUUUAUGUUUUUGCUCAACUUUAUUUUUUUAAA